rnacentral:rRNA from 1 species
CCUACGGGAGGCAGCAGUGAGGAAUAUUGGUCAAUGGGCGAGAGCCUGAACCAGCCACGCAGCGUGAAUGACGACUGCCCUAGGUGUUGUAAACUCUAUUUAUAAAGGAAUAAAAUGAUGCAUGUGUGCCUUUUUGUAUGCACUUUAUGAAUAAGCAUCGGCUAACUCCGUGCCAGCAGCCGCGGUAAUACGGAGGAUUCGAGCGUUAUCAGGAAUUAUUGGGGUUAAAGGGUGCGUAGAUGGGUAGGUAUGUCAGUUGUGAAAGUUUGCGGCUCAACCGUAAAAUUGCAAUUGAUACUAGCAGCCUUGAGUGCAGUAGAGGUAAGCGGAAUUCGUGGUGUAGCGGUGAAAUGCUUAGAUAUCAGGAGGAACUCCAAUGGCGAAGGCAGCCUACUAAACUGCCACUGACAUUGAUGCUCGAAAGUGUGGGUAUCAAACAGGAUUAGAUACCCGAGUAGUC